GGGGCAUGCCUGUUCGAGCGUCAUUA
rnacentral:rRNA from 1 species